GAUGAACGCUGACAGAAUGCUUAACACAUGCAAGUCGAGGGGCAGCAGGGAUUUAGCUUGCUAAAUCCGCUGGCGACCGGCGCACGGGUGCGUAACGCGUAUCCAACCUUCCCGUUACUCUGGGAUAGCCUUCCGAAAGGGAGAUUAAUACCGGAUAGUGUUCAAAUGUCGCAUGUUAUUUGAACUAAAGAUUUAUCGGUAACGGAUGGGGAUGCGUGACAUUAGAUAGUAGGCGGGGUAACGGCCCACCUAGUCUACGAUGUCUAGGGGUUCUGAGAGGAAGAUCACCCACACUGGAACUGAGACACGGUCCAG
rnacentral:rRNA from 1 species